rnacentral:rRNA from 1 species
AAACGUAGGGCGCAAGCGUUGCUCGGAAUCACUGGGCGUAAAGCGUGGGUAGGCGGGCUGGUAAGUCGGAUGUGAAAGCCCACGGCUCAACCGUGGAAUUGCAUCCGAUACUGCCAGUCUAGAGUACGGGAGAGGGAGGCGGAAUUCCCGGUGUAGCGGUGAAAUGCUUAGAUAUCGGGAGGAACACCGGUGGCGAAGGCGGCCUCCUGGACCGUUACUGACGCUGAGCCACGAAAGCGUGGGGAGCAAACAGGAUUAGAAACCCUAGUAGUCC